rnacentral:rRNA from 1 species
AUUGAACGCUGGCGGCGUGCUUAACACAUGCAAGUCGAACGAGUGGCGAACGGGCGAGUAACUCGUGGGUGACCUGCCCCGCACUUCGGGUUAAGCCCGGGAAACCGGGUCUGAUACCGGCUAGUGCGGGAUGGGCCCGCGGCCUAUCAGCUUGUUGGUGGGGUAAUGGCUACCAAGGCGCGACGGGUAGCCGGCCUGAGAGGGUGGGCGGCCACAUUGGGACUGAGACACGGCCCAGACUCCUACGGGAGGCAGUAGUGGGGAAUAUUGCACAAUGGGCGAAAGCCUGAUGCAGCCAUGCCGCGUGUAUGAAGAAGGCCUUAGGGUUGUAAAGUACUUUCAGCGGGGAGGCGUUACCCGCAGAAGAAGCACCGGCUAACUCCGUGCCAGCAGCCGCGGUAAUAC